AUAGUACUACUUAGUACUAGUACUAGUAGUAGUAGUAUGCUGUGAAGGUGAAGGCAAAUCAAGAAGAAUAUUGUAUUUGUUUAUCACUUUUAUCUCGAGCCGGAAGCUCUCACCAUUUCAACAACAUGUUUUUGAGUAUGUGUCGAAUGGCUAAAAAAAGCAAGAAUGUUCUUGUGAUGUUAAGAAGUGCAGCAGGAACUGGUUAUGAAGUAACAGCAAAGCGUGCCCGCCUUGGUG